CUGCGCACACUUCAGCACUGUUGGCCCUACAGAGGGUAGCACACACAGCUGGAGGGAGAACACAGGGGGGUACAUUGCUGACAGACAAGCCACGAUGGACCUGACUUCAGUUCUCUCCCUGGAAACCUGGGUCCUCCUGGCAAUCAGUCUGGUGCUUUUAUACCGAUUCGGGACCCAUAAACAUGACAUCUUUAAGAAACAUGGAAUUCCUGGGCCCAAGCCUCUGCCAUUUGUAGGAACUCUGCUGAGUUACUACAAAGGUACAUGGAAAUUUGAUGUCGAGUGCUAUAAAAAGUAUGG